AGCAGCGGUUAACUCCAUUGCCUCUCACUAUCUCUUUUUCUUUGUGCAUCACCACCAAAUCCCAGUCACUGUACAACAACGCGCGCCAUGUGCGUCGCGUAGCCUCCGGCUUACUACCUGACCGGAGGAUCCAUCGAGCCUCCGGCGUACUACCUGACCGAAGAAUCCAUCGAGCCUCCGGCGUACUACCUGACCAGAGGAUCCAUCGGGAACUUCUUUGAUUGCACUGUGUACCCGUCAAUUUACGCCGCUGCCUUUGCCAACCGAUUUAGCCCCGCCAAUCAUGAUACGGCUCAGUGUUUCUUCAAUUUCAAUUUGUCCAAUUCCUCUAGUUCUAGUAAUAACCAGAGAAAGAUUUUGACUAGGAUAGUUGUGAUACUUUUUGUGGUUUUUCUGUUCCUGGGUUUCGGUGGAUUUUGUGUUUUAUGGAACAAAUUGGAGAAAAAGAAGAGGAAAAUUAUUUGUGGAAGAGACAAGUUUGGUUGUUGAAAUGGAAUUGAUUAACCAGAGUGAGGGAGGUGUGUAGAAAAAUGAGUUCUGGUGAAAGAGGGCGAGGGUGUGGAGAGAGAAAAAAGGGGAUUUUGAUCGUGUAUUUUGCAAUGACUGAGUGUUGUGUGCCAAUGGGGCAAUUAACGGGAGAAAAAUGCCACGUCACCAUGUUUGUUGACAAAUUGGACGGAAAAUAAAGGUAGGUGUCUUAAUUUGGAAAUUUUGGAAGUCUAGGUGUUUAAUUGAUAUAAAGUGAAGUUGAGAUAUUUCUGUGACAUUGAAGCGAAAGUUUAGGUGCCAUUUUGAAAUUUUUUCUUACUUUUAUUUAAUGUGGUUCAUGUGCACGCAUAUACUGUUUUAAAAAAUUAGUCUAGGAUCCAUUAUAGCAUGUUUGUAACAUCUUUAGUCCACUUCUAAAGUUCAUAACCCCUCUAGUCCGCUAAUUAGGUUUGGUAAGGUCUUUAGUCCACUUCUUUUAAAAAAGAAACUAAACCAAGACAAAAAUGCCCUCCUAUAUAAGUUGUUGCAUCUCCCCGACCCUAAUCUUUCACUCCAGAUCUCUCUCUCUCUCUCUCUCUCUCUCUCUCUCUCCACUAGCAACAACUGUCCAGCGAAAAUGAGAGGGUGCAUUUCGAUCCACAUCGGAUAGGCCGGGAUCCAGGUUGGAAACGCCAGUUGGGAUCUCUACUGCCUUGAACACGGCAUUCAACCCGAUGGGCAAAUGCCGAGCGACAAGAUGGUGGCCGGCGGUGACGAUGCGUUCAACACCUUCUUCAGCAAGACCGGCGCCGAGAAGCACGUACCCCGCACCGUCUUCGUCGAUCUGGAGCCCACCGUCAUCGACGAGGUCAGGACCGGGCACUUACUGCUAGCUGUUCCACCCCGAACAACUCAUUAGCGGCAUCCCACCCGACCUGCUCCUGAAAUCUGGCACCCACCGCCGGACCAACCCUGACUGCCAACCCCCAACAACUAGCUCAGAAUGGCGCCGUAGCAGAUCGUGUGGAUCGCAGGCCGGAGCAAUUGCGAGUCCUUCGUCGAAGAGUGCAGUGGAGAGAGCGACGAUGUUUAUAUGUCUAAUAUUAUAUGUAUUCGUUUUUUGUUUUUUGUUUUUUUCCGAUAGGUAUACACAUAAUAUUACAUGUGAUUGUGUUGGCAUAAAACACAUUCCAGAUAUUCAUAGAUAACUUUAUAUGUCUCAGAUAUAUAUUCGUUUUUGAUAACGUACAGAGAACAGAUUGGAAUAUAUAAGAUUAUAUGUGCACUUUUUUUAAUGUAUUACCGAACAUAAGGCAAGAAAGCAGAUUGUGGCAUAAAUUUAUAUGUGCACUUUUUCAACAUGCAAGGAACAUAUUUGGCAUGGCACAAAGUUCAGAUAUACACCUAUAAUAUUAUAUGUGCUUGUGUUGGCAAAAAAUAAGUUCUAGAUAUCUCAAUAGAUAAUAGGGGUGUGCACGGGUCAGCCCGGGUUGGGUUUGGCCUAGACCCGCCACCCGACCCUAGCAGAUCGGGCUGGAAAACUCGUACCCAUUGGCCGCCGAUUACAGGGAUAAACUCGACCGAUCCAACAUCAUCAGAAGUCGGUCGGGUGUCGGUUUCGACCGGAAAAAAAAAAAUCUGAGAAAGCAAAGGAAACAAAUAAAGAGGAUGAUGACUUCCGGCGUCGAUCUCUUCCAUCUCACUGAUUGUGGAAGCUCGGUGAGAUAUGAGAGAGAGGGAGUCUGAAUUUGAGAGAGUCAUGUUUUUUGGCUGUCGAUUAUUGUCGUCAUAGGAUAGCAAUUGCAGAGGAGAAGAAAAAAAAUUGCAAACAAGAAAGAGUGAUGAGAGAUAUGGAGUCGUCUGCCCUUGUACUUCGUUUCAAAAUCGAAAAUGCAGAGAGAGAGAAAGAGAGAGAGAGAGAG